UACGGGGGGGGCAAGCGUUGUUCGGAAUUACUGGGCGUAAAGGGCUCGUAGGCGGCCAACUAAGUCAGACGUGAAAUCCCCGGGCUCAACCUGGGAACUGCGUCUGAUACUGGAUGGCUUGAAUCCGGGAGAGGGAUGCAGAAUUCCAGGUGUAGCGGUGAAAUGCGUAGAUAUCGUAAGGAAGACCAGUGGCGAAGGCGGGUCUCUGGACAGUUCCUGACGCUGAGGCACGAAGGUCAGGGGAGCAAACGGG
rnacentral:rRNA from 1 species